CACUAUGAAUCUUUUGCAUAUUAAUUAGGUUUAUUUUGAAAUAUAUUGCAGACUUCAAUGGGUUAAUGUGUAAAGUAUGUCAUAUCCACUCUUGUUAUGAAGGCAUUGAGAUUAAAUUGAUUUUUAAAAAAAACUUUUUAUAGUCAUGUGUAUAUAGUAUGUGUAAAUUCUGCAAUAUAUUCAAUAAAGCUAAAUUUAUGUUGGAAAAUAAUAUUAAGGUACAUGAAGAGAAACAUCAUAAUAAUUUCAUCAAUAUAUGUGUAGUACAAUGUACAAAAACAUAAGAAUGCUAGAAAAUAUCUGCAUUAAAAAAUUUGUAGAAAAAAGAUUUUUGAUAUUUUUAAUUAAAAAUAAAUCUUCCAAACUUGUAACACACAGAAAAGCGACAUUAAUAUAUCUAAUCCCAAUUAACAAUGAAAAAGAACAAUAUUGCUAUGACUAUAUUGAUAUCAAUUAUUAUAAGCUGAAUAUUGUAUAAAUAUGACAUAUAACAAGAUUAAUGCUUAUGGAAAUAAUAUAUGUGGAAAUAUACUAUCCUGACGACAUAGUAUUCUUUGGGAAGUAACAUCUGUCAUGGAAAAUAUCAGUAGUAAAGCAGAUAGAAUUAAAGAACAAUGGCAAAUCUAAAAAAUCUUUUAAGAACAUCAUAAACUUGUUAACACAUUAUUGUCCAGCUGAGGUGCAGUAGGUUAAAUUUAGGUCAUUGCACUGGAUUUGUCUUUUAGGAUAUGUUUCUGUUUGUUGUUUUACAUAAACUGGUCUAGUUAUUCAUAAUUGCUAUGCACAAACUGCCUAUAUGGUUUGUAAUAGGAUUACAAUAUAAACAGCACUGUUUGGCAGUGAAUACUUUCUUUGUUUCUAACUAAGCUGGCAUUUUUAGUGGUUGUAUCACACUCUUCAAGCUGCAUAAGU
rnacentral:lncRNA from 1 species